AUUGAACGCUGGCGGCAGGCCUAACACAUGCAAGUCGAGCGGUAACAGAGAGUAGCUUGCUACUUUGCUGACGAGCGGCGGACGGGUGAGUAAUGCUUGGGAACAUGCCUUGAGGUGGGGGACAACAGUUGGAAACGACUGCUAAUACCGCAUAAUGUCUACGGACCAAAGGGGGCUUCGGCUCUCGCCUUUAGAUUGGCCCAAGUGGGAUUAGCUAGUUGGUGAGGUAAUGGCUCACCAAGGCGACGAUCCCUAGCUGGUUUGAGAGGAUGAUCAGCCACACUGGGGACUGAGACACGGCCCAGACUCCUACGGGAGGCAGCAGUGGGGAAUAUUGCGCAAUGGGCGAAAGCCUGACGCAGCCAUGCCGCGUGUGUGAAGAAGGCCCUAGGGUUGUAAAGCACUUUCAAUUGGGAAGAAAAGCUGCAGGUUAAUAACUUGUAGCCUGACAUUACCUUU
rnacentral:rRNA from 1 species